rnacentral:rRNA from 1 species
UACGUAGGCAGCGAGCGUUGUUCGGAAUUACUGGGCGUAAAGAGUGUGUAGGCGGUGCUCUAAGUUCGGUGUGAAAUCUCCCGGCUUAACUGGGAGGGUGCGCCGGAAACUGGAGUGCUCGAGCGUGGGAGAGGAAAGCGGAAUUCCUGGUGUAGCGGUGAAAUGCGUAGAUAUCAGGAGGAACACCUGCGGUGUAGACGGCUUUCUGGACCAUUGCUGACGCUGAGACACGAAAGCGUGGGGAGCAAACAGG